AAUGUACUUUCUCUGUUCGGAAUUACUCGUCCAAGAAAUGAAUGUAUCUAGAUGUAUUUUAGUUGUAGAUACAUCCAUUUUUGUGACAAGUAAUUCCGAACAGAGGGAGUAUGUG
rnacentral:pre_miRNA from 1 species